AUGAACGCUGGCGGCGUGCCUAAUACAUGCAAGUCGAGCGAACAGAUGAGGAGCUUGCUCCUCUGACGUUAGCGGCGGACGGGUGUGUAACACGUGGAUAACCUACCUAUAAGACUGGGAUAACUUCGGGAAACCGGAGCUAAUACCGGAUAAUAUAUUGAACCGCAUGGUUCAAUAGUGAAAGACGGUUUUGCUGUCACUUAUAGAUGGAUCCGCGCCGCAUUAGCUAGUUGGUAAGGUAACGGCUUACCAAGGCAACGAUGCGUAGCCGACCUGAGAGGGUGAUCGGCCACACUGGAACUGAGACACGGUCCAGACUCCUACGGGAGGCAGCAGUAGGGAAUCUUCCGCAAUGGGCGAAAGCCUGACGGAGCAACGCCGCGUGAGUGAUGAAGGUCUUCGGAUCGUAAAACUCUGUUAUUAGGGAAGAACAAAUGUGUAAGUAACUAUGCACGUCUUGACGGUACCUAAUCAGAAAGCCACGGCUAACUACGUG
rnacentral:rRNA from 1 species